rnacentral:misc_RNA from 1 species
AACCUCUCUCAAGUAAAUUUUACUUGGAUGUGAAGGAAGAGUACCUUAAACUUUAAGGAGUUCUCCUUUGAAAUUGAUUAGCAGAUAAUAUAAAGUUUACUAAAUUUCUAAUGUUAUAAGAAAUAACAAUGGUUUUUUAGACUAAUUAUCUAGCUUUAAAUUUUCUUUUUAUUAU